rnacentral:tRNA from 2 species
GGCCCCAUAGUUCAAUGGAUAGAAUAUCAGAUUCCGGUUCUGACGAUAUGAGUUCGAGUCUCGUUGGGGUCA